UACGGGGGGAGCAAGCGUUGUUCGGCUUUACUGGGCGUAAAGGGCGCGUAGGCGGCCAGCACAAGUCAGUUGUGAAAUCUCCGAGCUUAACUCGGAACGGUCAACUGAUACUGUGCGGCUAGAGUGCGGAAGGGGCAACUGGAAUUCUUGGUGUAGCGGUGAAAUGCGUAGAUAUCAAGAGGAACACCUGCGGCGAAGGCGGGUUGCUGGGCCGACACUGACGCUGAGGCGCGAAAGCGUGGGGAGCGAACAGG
rnacentral:rRNA from 1 species